UACAGAGGUCUCAAGCGUUGUUCGGAUUCAUUGGGCGUAAAGGGUGCGUAGGCGGCGCGGUAAGUCGGAUGUGAAAUCUCGGAGCUUAACUCCGAAACUGCAUUCGAUACUGCCGUGCUUGAGGACUGGAGAGGAGACUGGAAUUUACGGUGUAGCGGUGAAAUGCGUAGAUAUCGUAAGGAAGACCAGUGGCGAAGGCGGGUCUCUGGACAGUUCCUGACGCUGAGGCACGAAAGCGUGGGGAGCAAACAGG
rnacentral:rRNA from 1 species